GAUGAAGAACGUAGCGAAAUGCGAUACGUAAUGUGAAUUGCAGAAUUCAGUGAAUCAUCGAAUCUUUGAACGCAUAUUGCGCUCUCUGGUAUUCCGGAGAGCAUGCUUGUUUGAGUAUCAGUAAACACCUCAACUCCCCUUUCUUUUUUUGAAAUGGGAGCUGGACUUGAGUGAUCCCAACGCUUUUCUCACCGAAAAGUGGCGGGUUACUUGAAAUGCAGGUGCAGCUGGACUUUUCUCUGAGCUAAAAGCAUAUCUAUUUAGUCUGCCUAAAAAACAGGUUAUUACCUUUGCUGCAGCUAACAUAAAGGAGAUUAGUUCUUGUGCUGACUGAUGCAGGAUUCACAGAGACAGCUUCGGCUGGCCUUUGUAAACUCGAUCUCAAAUCAAGUAAGACUACCCGCUGAACUUAAGCAUAUCAAUAAGCGGAGGA
rnacentral:misc_RNA from 1 species